rnacentral:rRNA from 1 species
AUACGUAGGGUGCGAGCGUUGUCCGGAAUUACUGGGCGUAAAGAGCUCGUAGGUGGUUUGUCGCGUCGUCUGUGAAAUUCCGGGGCUUAACUCCGGGCGUGCAGGCGAUACGGGCAUAACUUGAGUACUGUAGGGGAGACUGGAAUUCCUGGUGUAGCGGUGAAAUGCGCAGAUAUCAGGAGGAACACCGGUGGCGAAGGCGGGUCUCUGGGCAGUAACUGACGCUGAGGAGCGAAAGCAUGGGUAGCGAACAGGAUUAGAUACCCUGGUAGUCCAUGCCGUAAACGGUGGGCGCUAGGUGUAGGGGUCUUCCACGACUUCUGUGCCGUAGCUAACACAUUAAGCGCCCCGCCUGGGGAGUACGGCCGCAAGGCUAAAACUCAAAGGAAUUGACGGGG